AUGAAGGUCCAGGCACUGACUGCUGCUGCUGCUCUCCUCCUGCUGCAGCUCUCCUUGGCCCCAGCUCUGGCUGAGGGAGCGUGGGACCAUGCCCCAGAGAGGCAGCUGGGAGCCGAGAACACCAGAGCAGACCCUUGGCUGCCUGCAGCUGAAGGGGACAACCUGUCCAGGCAGGACUCGGCAAGAGGUCACCCCCCUGCCAGAGAGGGGAAGGUGGUCACCAGCAGAGCCAUGGCUGGGCUCCUGCUAGGCAGUGGUAGGCAGGACGCUGCCAGCAAGCCUCAGAAGCACCAGCUUCAGCCCUCCAGAAGCAGGGGCCUGGGACUGAGCCACCACCUGAAAGGCUAUGGGAAAUUCAACACGGACACGUACUCCUGCCACGGGAUUCAGUCGCGGCCCUGCCAGAAGCCCUCCGACUGCGACGGCUGCCUCGGCCUCUACACCUGCAAGCUGCCCAAGGGGACGUGCGACUUGAAAGCAGUUUCCCGGGAAAGAGCAGGUGGAUUCCUCCAAAGCAUAUAAAGCACUUAAAGACAUGUGGUCCUGCUCAUCCUGGAGCAACACAGCUUGACUUAACACUGGAGAGGCUGUCCUACGACUGGAGACCAAAAUUUCUUGUCUAAGUUUUGUUUUAAACCCUUAAUUACAAAGUUGUAAGCAUUUCUUUCACUGUGCUUUUCAUGCCACUGCUUUUUUAGCCUCCAGGAUUUUGUAAGCUAUGUAGGUUUGAUUCCCACUUUCCUUAGAGCUGCCAAUGAACAUAUUCAGUGGGUACAGAGCCCUGUGCUGGCAGAGCACACUUGGAGCUGUCCUGUUAUGUGCAGCCCCAAAAUGCAACAAAUGUGGCUAUUUUACAAUUCAUUUUAUUUUGAGCUGUUAGGAUAUUGCAGGUAAAAGCUGCCAGUAUUCCAGCACGUUCACACGGAAAUUGAAGUUCAGCUAAGAAAUCUGGUAGCCUCGGGCAUCCCAGGAAACCCUCCCAACUCCUUACCACAGCUCCAAUGGAGGAAGAAAACCCACUCUGUUGAAAACAUCUUUUGAGAAAGGUAACGCAGAGCUCCUAGGCUGAGGCUUGGCUGUGGGGGGACAGCAUAGGACACCCAGUUCUAGAGGCUGGAACUGAGCUGAAACAUCCUCUCCAUUUACCUCUCCACAAGGCUUUACUGGUAUCCUGGCCACUUUGUGGAGAGAGGAGAAUGCCUUUCCAUGCGUGGGUGCACCUAAGCUUUGCAAAACCCAGUUUUUCUAUCACUAAAAAAAGCAAAGCAAAGAAAGCAUGUGUUUUCAGUAGAAAAAAGAAGAGCUUUUGGUUGUGAAGAUAAGCUUCACACACAAAUUCUCCACAGCAAGAAGAUUUCAAGAUUUUCUACUUACUGCAGAGGUUGUUCCAGUGCUUCAGAAAUGCCUCUCUUUGGUCCCUGUAAAUCCUGGGGUUGUUAGAGCUGAAAAAAGAUCCACCAUCCUGAUCUAAUUGUUGUAUUCCUAUAUGCCCAAGCUCAUAGAAGUACAGAAGAAAAAAAAAAUCAGCGUUGUUAACCUAUUCAUCCAACCUGCUCUAUGUGGCUUCUUAUAGACAUCGCUCAAUUCCUCCAGAGGGAGCGAUCUGUACCUUGUUGCUAGUAAAGGACAGCUGUGGCCUGUCCUAUGCAGACACACAGGAAGCAUCACACGCUCUCAUUUUUGUGUGCUUUAAUUGUUAUCAAGAAAAUUCCUUCCUGAGGAGAGAUGGGGUCUUAGAUACAGAAGUUACCGCUUCACAGACUAGAUAUAGCUACCAUCUGAGAUGCGGAUCCUAAGACUGAACCAAGUUGUGAAAGACCAAAUCUGGCAGUGUGAGUGGAGGGCAGCUGACCACGUCACCAGCCCUCAUCAGCCUUUGUAUUGGGACCAUGAGCAACAGCUGGCUCGAGCUGUUGGCACUACCCAAGGAAAAAAACCCAGAUUUUUAAAUUAUAGCUAGAAGGUUAGACAGGGCUCUUCUAUGCACAGCUUUAGAUAGAAGAACAGGUAUUCAUUUAGAUUGAACAGUGACAGAAGGAAAGACAUCUUCUAAAAAGAGAACUAAAACACAGCAUUUAAUUAACCUUAAAUUACACCACAGCUCACAACAAUUUUCUUUGGUGUGGCAUUACUGCCUCCUGUGGCAAACUAGACUAAAUAGUGCAAAUUUUCAGUACGGUGUCAGGCCCAGCAAACCCAGGGGAUGAUCCAUGAACAGGCCCAGGACGCUGGCAGGCCUGGCUCUGUGCCCGCUGCGCUGUGCCCACUGAGGUCAAUGCCUUUGCCCUCGCCAUGCAGCAGGGCUCACAUCGUGCUCACAACUACAUAGGCUUGCAUCUCCUUCAGAGUCGCUUUUCUGGUCUUCAAAGUCUGUUUUUAAUUCUUGCCAAUUUCUCUGCUCCACAAACCACCCCCCAUUCUCAUAUCACUUCCCUCUGCUCUUUCACACUUUGAAUCUGAUUUGAAGCAGCUCCUGCAUCUGAACAGCCUCCCUGCCUCUCCCUCACUUCACAGUUCAUCUGCGAACAUGGCUAUUGCGUGUCUCCUCCCUCAGGUACUUUCUCUAAGUUCUUUUUUCACUUUGUAAAGAGUCCUGGGGCAGAGAGAAUAAUAAAUGUGCA
ensembl:lncRNA